rnacentral:rRNA from 1 species
UACGUAGGGAGCGAGCGUUGCCCGGAAUUACUGGGCGUAAAGGGUGCGUAGGUGGCCAUGCAAGUCAGAUGUGAAAUCCCCGGGCUUAACUCGGGUGCUGCAUUUGAAACUGCGUGGCUUGAGUGCAGGAGAGGAAAGCGGAAUUCCUAGUGUAGCGGUGAAAUGCGUAGAUAUUAGGAGGAACACCAGUGGCGAAGGCGGCUUUCUGGACUGUUACUGACACUGAGGCACGAAAGCGUGGGGAGCAAACAGG